rnacentral:rRNA from 1 species
GCUUAGAGUUUGAUCCUGGCUCAGGAUGAACGCUGGCGGCGUGCUUAACACAUGCAAGUCGAACGGUCUCUUCGGAGAUAGUGGCGGACGGGUGAGUAACGCGUGAGAAUCUGCCUUUAGGUUCGGGACAACAGUUGGAAACGACUGCUAAUACCGAAUGUGUCGCAAGAUGAAAGAUUUAUUGCCUAAAGGUGAGCUCGCGUCUGAUUAGCUAGUUGGUGGGGUAAAAGCGUACCAAGGCGACGAUCAGUAGCUGGUCUGAGAGGAUGAUCAGCCACACUGGGACUGAGACACGGCCCAGACUCCUACGGGAGGCAGCAGUGGGGAAUUUUCCGCAAUGGGCGAAAGCCUGACGGAGCAACGCCGCGUGAGGGAGGAAGGCUUUUGGGUUGUAAACCUCUUUUAUCAAGGAAGAUAAUGACGGUACUUGAUGAAUCAGCAUCGGCUAACUCCGUGCCAGCAGCCGCGGUAAUACGGAGGAUGCAAGCGUUAUCCGGAAUAAUUGGGCGUAAAGCGUUCGUAGGUGGUUUUGCAAGUCUGCUGUUAAAGCGUGUAGCUUAACUACAUAAUGGCGGUGGAAACUGCAAAACUAGAGUGCGUUCGGGGCAGAGGGAAUUCCUGGUGUAGCGGUGAAAUGCGUAAAUAUCAGGAAGAACACCGGUGGCGAAGGCGCUCUGCUAGGCCGCAACUGACACUGAGGGACGAAAGCUAGGGGAGCGAAU